rnacentral:misc_RNA from 1 species
GUAGGUGAACCUGCGGAAGGAUCAUUAACAAAUCAUGAUGGUGAGGGAGGUAAAACUCCCUUGUCAUAUUAACCCGACCCUGUGCAGCAAUGCCGGGCAAGGUGCGCACCGGCCCUUGUGGCUGGUGUGCGGUGAAGAGUGCUGCAGUAAUGCGCGCACCCUGAUCCACAUAGACGCUUGUAUGUUUGACAGAGUUAGUUGACACUUUAAAAUGACAACUUUUAACAAUGGAUCUCUUGGCUCUUGCAUC